rnacentral:rRNA from 1 species
CCAAUAGCGUAUAUUAAAGUUGUUGCAGUUAAAAAGCUCGUAGUUGAAUUUCGGGAUCAGUAGGUCGGUCGUGCCACUGGUAUGCACUGGUCUCACUGGUUCCUCCUUCUUGAAGAACCGUAAUGUCAUUAACUUGGUGUUGCGGGGAAACAGGACUGUUACCUUGAAAAAAUUAGAGUGCUUAAAGCAGGCAAGCGCCUGAAUACAUUAGCAUGGAAUAAUGAAAUAGGACGUUCGAUCCUAUUUUGUUGGUUUCUAGGAUUGACGUAAUGAUUAAUAGGGAUAGUUGGGGGCAUUAGUAUUCAAUUGUCAGAGGUGAAAUUCUUGGAUUUAUUGAAGACUAACUACUGCGAAAGCAUUUGCCAAGGAUGUUUUCAUUAAUCAAGAACGAAAGUUAGGGGAUCGAAGACGAUCAGAUACCGUCGUAGUCUUAACCAUAAACUAUGCCGACUAGGGAUCGGAUGAUGUUAAUUUUUUAAUGACUCAUUCGGCGCCUUACG